UUAAAACAAAUCAAAACUAAUCAGAACAGAAUUGAUAAAUCUCAAACCUAACAGAUCAGAUUGAUUUUCGAACUAGACCACAAAAAUAGAGAGAUAGAUUUCAAUUUCAGAUUCAAGAGCAGAUUUUUCAAAAGAAAAAUAACAAAAACGAAAUCAAUCAAACUUGCACUGCACGGAUCAGGUUUCAAGAGAUCAAACAACACAAGAUCAGAGAUGAUAUGAUAACAGAUGAUGAGAUUUAGAUCAAGUAAGAACAGAUCUAAAACAAUAAGAACAGAUCGGAAUCACACAAACAGAUUUAGAUCAAAACAAUCAGAGAACUUGAUCAACAAGGAUCCGAACAGUCUAAUACCCAAAACAAGAUCUAAUCAACCCUAAUUCGACAGAUUCUUACACAAGAAACACAGAUCAACACGAAAUCAAAGAGUAUAUGAAGAGACUUCAACAGAUUCGUGUUCAAAACACUCAGAUUUAUCAGAUUUCCACAAUAGAAACACAGAUCGAUCAAAAUCACAACAGAAUAUGAAGAGAUCAAAUCGACAACAGAUAGAAAUCAAAACACUUCCCUUCCAGAGUUGCUCUGAUACCACUUGAUGAGAUCCUAGGAUGAUGCUCUGGAACAGAUGGGAUAAUCCUUGCAGAAACGA
rnacentral:lncRNA from 1 species